AACAAACACAUGAGAGUGUUUCAGGUGUUUCAUGAGUUAUUCAUGUGAGUUUUACUUUCCACUCUCUACAGUCUGCCACUUCCCUUUUAAUACACAGCCUCCGUGAAACACCUCUCUGCAGGGUACGUAUCCAUUAGAUUUCAUCCAGACUGAAACUUCACCAUCCUCGUGUCUGCACACCAAGGAUCAGCCUGCACGAACCCACAAAAAGUCAUGACGUGCCGUCGCUUCCCUAAGCAGAAAUGUUUUACUGCGCCCUCUCAAGUGCUGUCCAUCUUCAUGGCAUUCUUCACAUGAAUUACUGUUCCUGAAUAAUAGCUCUUGUCUGUGUCGAAGAGCUCCUGGAAAGAUUAAUUAUCAGUGGCAAAACACUCUGUGAUCCUCAGAUAAAAAUCAGCACAGGAACAUAAAGCAGAAAUAUUUUGAUUCCUAUGAGGAUUUUCACGUCCUGACACGCAGGAACUAACGAUAUGGAAAGCAGCUACCAAGGUCCUAAUGCCGUAAAGAGAAUGUGACAAAGUCGUCUUGUGAAGGAUGACUUUGGAAAACUUCCAGGUAUAAUAUUUCUUUGAAGUUAAGGGAAACAAAAAAAUAGAAGGAGGAAUCUAAUCAAAAGAGAUUAUGGAAUUCAAACAAGAUGAUGCAGAUGCUUCCAGUUGCAUAAGAACCAAAGCAAAACAGCAUACUGAAACAGUUACUACCAUCUGCCCUUCUCCUGGACAACACCAACGCCUCCCUCUCCUAUUGUAUGUCUGCUCUGUUACUGAAAAAGUGGGAAGAAACAAGAGGUGUUCUUCUGAGGCAGCAAGUGAGAAAUAGAAGACAACUACAGAAAUUCUAAGAAGAGAAGUAAGAAGCCUGAAAAUCCCCUGCCAAAAUGAUUCAGAUUGAUUUUUUUCUUAUUAUUUCUCAUGAUAAACCAAAUAAUAAAAUUAACAGACCCCAACACAGAAACCUGAUUGAGAAUAAGACAGGAAUCUACACUUAAAUCUCUUUGGCUGUGGAAAUAUACACCUUGACAGACGGGCAGAUUGUAUGUGGGUAUCUAUGCAGCAUGGUAAAUGAUAUUCCAGUAAACCAAAACAUUGCUUGGACUUCUGUCCCGACUUUCUCUGAUAAUAACGUCAAAUGACCACAAGGAGUAAGGUUUUGUGGAUCAGAAUUUUGAACGCUCAUUACUGUUUCUGAGACAUUUUAAGAAUCUAUUUUGGGAGGAUAACAGAUGGUUAAAUAGCUGAACAGCCCAGAUUUCAUCCGCAAAGUGGGUGAGUGCAGAAGAAGCUGGUGCGUGCUGUAAAAUUACAGGCAGAGCAAAGGAGUUGGGGUCUUUGAUGAAGGAACACAUUACGUCCGCACACCUUACUGAUACUCAGAUUUUCAGCUUCCUGUCACGAGGAAGCAGAGCUUAGGCCACGGCCUGGGCUGUUCAGCCAAAACUUCUCUCUGUCCCUGUGCAGUUCGGGAAGCUGUCAGCCCUUUUCAGCCAUUCGGUCUGAGAGUGUCAGGCUUAGUGAUGGACACGUUACGUGAGAACUGUGCACAUAGAUAGGCUCAGACAAGAGACCUAUAUGAGUUUUCCUACUGAAACCCUGUAGUGUGGCACAAGCAACAGCUGUGCUGCGCUCUCUGGGUGACCGCUCACUGCCUAAGUACCAGCUGGCUAAUCCACACUUCCCCCAGCUGGUAGUUUAGAGACAAGAGGGAGCUGAUGGCAACGCGGGAGGUCAGGCAGAUGCCAGGCUUUGUUAUUUCUGUUGCUCACAGAGUGUCUUUUAAUGUUCCUCAUCCCACCUUCAUCCCAAGUACACUGGUAAUAUACACGCAAAAUACCUUUAGCUCCUCAGUACGGGUAGCCUAGAUCUCAGUAGUGCUAUUCUGUAACAGACAUCGAGUUGAAUUUGUCUCAGAAAUUCUGUUGUAUAACUAAUCCUGUGCCCGCUGAAGUCAGUAGCCCAUUGGCAUAAUUAUUUAUAUUGCUCCCAAGGGGGUUAGCAAUAAUGCCAAGUCAAAGUGGAUGAUCAGGGCAUUUCGUACACAUUAUUUGCACAUGCGUUUAAGAUGCAAGACAGCAAAGAAGCAUGGCCCGAAUCUUCCCUGUUUCGUGCCAUCAAGAACGUGUUUUCUGGAAAAGAAUAAUGCUGGAAAGAGUUGCUGGACAUCAGCAAGCAGGUCUGUUAAGCAACAAAGUCUCUGCAGACUCUCAGAAGCCACCUAUCAUCUCAUUUGGACUGAGAAAAGCAAUUAGGCUCCCUUUGCAGAGCUGAAGAAGCCUCUGCACAUGCCACCGGAGUGCACAGAGAAGCCUCUCUGAAUGACCCUGGGCAAAGGGUGAUGGAGCCUCAGUUGGUAUCUGAACUUCAAAAGCAGGAGACUCAGAAGAGGAUCUGGCGGCUCAGCCUUUGGAGGAAACAGAAAUCAAGAGCGCUGGCAUGCAGAAUGCUCUGCAAAUCUGGGUUGGAUUUCUGAAGAAAGAGCCAGCCGCCUUUUUGCUACCAUCGUGCUCAGGAAACAAAAUGGUCUGUAUGAUCUUUGUGAACAGAAAUACCUGCUCAUAUCUCAAUGGUAACCUGCAAGGCAGAAUUGCAGUUUUGAUGCAAUACAGUUUGUGAUCCAGGAGGCUUUGUUGCUUUUAACUCAGGAUGGUUCCUGGUGUGGAGUAUAUACUCCUGGUUCCUUUACCACUGCUGUUAUAAGACCUAGGACAUAAGGAGGGACUUCGCUUUAAUUUGUCUGCUAAUCUUAGUGCCUGCUCUGGUCUUUGUUUUCAUUUAAUCUGGAGCAUUGUUGCCCUUUGAAAAUAUUUUGCUGCAAUUUAGCUUUUUAAAUAAAUUCCUCGGGAAUUAAAAAAUGCACUGGUGACAGGCAAAGCUUAUACAGUGGAAAUGGAACUGUUAUAUUUUCAUAACCAUUCGAGCUCUUUCUUUCAGUUGGGAUGGCCUAUUUGCCUUCAUGAGAUAUUGUGCUACAGAUCAGAAUUUAGAUAGCAUUUUCCCAUAGCAUUCAUAGAUGUCAGCCCCCCUGUGGAAAAGCAGGAAGGCACUGAUCAAAACAAUCUCAAUCUCUCUCCUCCUAACCACAAGGCAAAAUGCCACAGAAAGGCAUAUUCUUACUGAUUUUUAAUCUUGAAAGAAUUAGGACAUUUUUUUGUUUGUUUAUUACCCUGAAUGGGAUGGAAAGGGAUUGACAAUCGCUGAUGCAAAUGAGGGAGAAAUACGUACUGGAAGCAGGCAGUUUGGGCACCGCUGCCAGGCGUGCAAUGUGGCAGCAAUGUGUGGAAAGUGAACCGGAGAAGCUGAGUAACGACAACGGUUGUUAGCUCUUCCCAAGCUCUAGUGUGGCAACAGCUCUGCUGUUGCUAGUGUUUCAACCAGUUCAGGUAUGUCUAUUUAUCAAACUGUAAUCAGAACCUUGGACGAUAGCGCUGACAUGCCUACAGAUGACAGCAGCUCUGGUAUUGGGAGUGGAAUAGUUUUGGCACCCAGCAACAAGAGAAUUCAUUGUCUGAUACAUCCCUGCUGAUACCACGAGUGCUUCGGCAUGUACGCAGGGACCUCACACGGAGCAACAGCAAGGACUGGAGCUCGAUGGAGUGGUAUAAGAAAAACAGGACUAUGUUUUUCAUCUCUCCCAUUCUGUCUUUUAACUCCAGUGAAAACGACAUUAUUCAUAAAACUAAGUCAUAUAGUGUCUCAAAUCCAAAUAGGUCUGUAAUUUUCUCCCCAUAAAGUGCCUAGCUAAUUAACCAAGAACACAAUUAGUUUUGAGUCAACAUCUUCAUAAGCCUUAGCUGGACAGUGGCACAUUGUUUACUGGCUAGCAAUAAAUGCUGUUCCUUUUACCUGUGUAGCAUGCAAUGCUUGAUGCAGUAAAGUCGGCGUGUCUUAAACAUCAUCAGCCUUUGUGCUGGUUUUGUUACUGACUAAACAUGUGACCUAUCAGUUGGUCUUAAAGACCAUGGAUAUGUAGAUUAUAUUUAUACUGUGAACCUGAGGAGCAUUUCUGAGCAGUCAGAUCAGAGUGAGUCUCCGCUGCUUUCCAGCCCCGUGUAGGAGAGAGCCCUGAGGCCGCACUGCUUCCCCACUGCAGGUACACACACAGGUGCAUGGCCCAAACGGGACCUGCAGUAUGUUUCAAACAGGUGCGCGAUCUCAGUUACUGGGAGACUAGGCCCUAAGCUGUGCCUUACCACACCGUAAGCGGGCAGUGUGGGCGCAGCCAAGGCUGAAUUGCCACAGGCCAGCCGAGCCGCGGUAACCGAUGUGGGGCGUUAGCAUGAACUGCAGUGGAAGAGGUUUCUAUGAAGUUUCUUUCAUUUGGGUUGGGCUAAAAGCUGCUCUGACAAUUAGUUGUUGCAGCUCAAUUUGUAUGGGAGACGUCAUGUAACCUGUGUAAGCUUGGAAGUAACAAAAGCCAGGAGUGCAGAUUAAAGUGUGGAAGACUGGAGUGAGCAUGUAAGAUUCUGAACUGUAUCAGGUCUCACUUUCCAUGUGCAAUGUGGUCCUCGGUUGUGCCACCCUUCUGUUGAGAUGUGUUCGUCAAGGUAGUCUAGCCAACUAACUGAAGAUAGCCGGACAUAAAGGAAAUGCUAGAUGGUAAGGGGAGUGAUGUGACCUGGCCUGGCCUGGCCGUGGUGGCACAGUAGUUUCUAGAAGCUACCACAGGUGGGUACAGCUUCAGUAAGAAUUAAAGCUGCAUAUAAAAAGAUGGAUCAUGCCAUAGACCUUCCUAUUGUAAGAACUUAGACCAGCUUUUCACCAGCAUGGUCAAGCCUUUCUCAUAUCUUGUCUUCAUUAGGACUGAGAAGUGGUUCCUGUAAAUGUCCCCUGAAACAUGGUAAAUACUUUGAUGAUAAAAUCCAGUGGCUGUUGCCAUAGACUUAAGAUAAUUCAUUUUGCUUUUUAAAGUGGAUUAAAUAGUUUCCUCAGUCAUAAGACUGUGGCCAAAGCCCACAGCAGCCUUCAGCAAUGACUUCUUCCGCCAAGCAGGGCCUGAACUGGCUCUAAAUUAGCACAUGUGUCAAGCAAGAACGGUUGGGCUGACUGUCCUUCUAAUUAAAGUGAUAGAGUGUAUGGAAAUUGGCUUGCCCAUGCUCAGAUUGUUUGAACAGAAAUACUCAACAUAAGACAGUCCUCCAGAACCAGAAAGUCUGCAUGCCAGUGAUGAGACACCAGGUGAAUCAUUGCUGUUCACAAGGCCAGCACAGUCCUGCUCUGCUGUUUCUAUUCCACGUUACUUGCUGGGGGCCUCCAAAUAAUUCCUCAUUUGUUAAAAUGGAACUAUGGCACUAAUUUAAUGCAAGGUUUUUUUCACUGCCCAUCACUGCAAGAUCUCCUAAGGACUCCAUUUAAAUCAGGAGUGGUGGGAGGAUGAGCAGCAGCAGCAAUUUUGGAACUAGUGGUUAAUGACUGAUUUCUUCCUGCAGUCAAACACUGCGCUACAAGUUUUUGAAGCAAUGCUGAUCUACAAAAGCCAAAAGGUUACAGGCACACUACAUGGGAGAUGCACACGAGGAUGAUCCUAUUUGGUUUGAUGUCAAAAAAAGUUUUACACAAUGUUUUGGUAAAAGAAAAUUAUGUUAGAAUAUAGAAAAACAACUCAAUAUGAAGGGACUGCAUUUUCCCAAUUGCUAUUCAUUCAUCAAAAAUACAUACAAAAUGUAUUCAAUUCUUCAUUAAUUCUGCAUGAAAAAAAAAUGUGUGUGUGUAUUUUAUAUAUUCAGGAAUAUGUUGGCUAAGGUUAAUAAAUUAUUAAUUUAUAAUAAUUAAAGCAUGAGCACUGA